ACAGCCAGAGCAGGCAUCGGAGAGCUCACGCGGGCCGAGGGCGCGCGACUGGGGAUGCUGGCCCGGGUUCUUUUAAGACGGGUUCUGGACACAAGCGACGGCAGCUUCCGCGACCCCCAUCAGCCCCGCCUCACUCUGGACACCGGGCUGUGAGCUCUGGGACGCGCCCAACUUGGAAAGCGUCUUGCUUGCCCAGCGCGCGCUACUUCUCGGACGAGCACCCGGCGGCGGGGCACAUGCUGCCCCCGCCCCUGCGCGCCUGCGGCUCCCGGCUCUCCCUCCCCUGCGCCGCGCUCUCGCCUCGCUUUCCGCGGGAGCCUUCCAACCGGUUCUCGGCUAGGGAGAAGGACGGGAGCGGUGGGAAGAGCGAGGGUGUAGAGAGGGAAGUUAGGGCUUUCGCUUUCUCCCCCCACUCCAGCGGCGGCGUUCGGUCCUCUGGGUGGAAUGUGCUCGCAGCAGCAGUGACGGCGGCCACAGCACGGGAGGCACCCGAGCCAUACACCCUGCAGCUGGAGAGAAAAGGAUGGCCGAGGUGGGAGAGACUAGAGUGAACCAGCAGGAGGAAGUCCCAGGGCCGCGAAGCUACGACGGAGAUCCGUCCUGGAAAAGCCUUCUCCACCCUGGGCACUUUAAGCGGCGGUGGCGGCAAACGGCAGGAGGUUGCAGACCCGACAGCGAGACUCCCUCAUUCCAGUCUUGCUCUGCCCUCCGGAGAUGACAAGUGAGAAAGAAGUGUCCGGCCGGGCCAUCCCCUUCAGAGAAGCAACCACUUCACAAGAAGAUUCUGAAGUUGGCCAUUUUUGAUCCCAGAACAGUUUCUCAUAGAUUAGAAAUAUUGGAGUCUACACAAAAAUCGAUAUUCAUUUACAAGAUCAUCACUAAACUUAUCUUGCAUAACGUCUCUGCCAGCCACAUUAACUGCCUGCAGAAAAGUUUGUUAUGACUGCCUGGUUUUGUAAAGUCCAGACAACUUUACACUAAGCUGAAUAAUGUUCAUUUACUCAAAAGCUAGUCUAAAAUUGUAGAGUUAAUGAACACUAAACCAAAGUUAGUGCUUUAACUGAAAGAUAAUUUACUGUACCCUUUGGAGUCCAGUCCGGUACCAUCAAGAUCUGGGAAAAUACAACUGUUACCAAGAAUAACUGUAAAAUGUGCUGGGAAUGCAAUGUCCUGAGAUAAGGAAGAACUGCCUGAAACAGCCUGGAUCUUAUUCCUGUACUUCCUAGGGAAUGUAACAUCUCAAGUUAAAGAGGAACUGCCCGGAACAGCCCGGGGAUUGUUCCUCUCUCCUGAGAAGGAAGAUUACCUCCAAAGCUCAUCCACUGAGUCACACUGCCCCUGUGGUGGAGGGCGGGCUGCCUUUCCAGGUUCCUCAGCUGUGGUGUAACUGAAGCAGGCACAAUCAAGACUCCAUCUGCUCGAGGCAGCUUUCUCGAACCUUGGGGAACCUACUCACAAUGGAUCACAGGCUUCUUUUGUUUUGUUUCUUGCUGCCUAUCUUGGGAAGCAAAAAUCAGCUGAGUGAAGAUGAGGAAGAAGGUGUUAAAGGUUUGAAGAAAAAAGGAAAAGGAUAUACUAAUCUAAGAGGACAAGUAAGUAGAACAUAGAUAAUGAAAAUGCUGGCCCUUAGGACUGUUGGGCCUAAAUGCUCAUAUUAUAUUGGUAGUCACAAAUUUGAACUUUCUCUAGAGCCAAUUUUUGCAUGUGUGUGCAGGCCUGGAGUAGUUGGAGAGUUGGAUUUAAUAGAAUUGAGGGUCAAGCAACUACAACCAGGGAAGAGUGGGACAAGGGAGAUAAAGGAUAUUGGCAGGGGAGCAAUUAUAAACAUGGACCAUGAUCAAAACUGGACAGGAAGGAAAAUAGAGAUAAGAGGGGUGGAAGGUUAAAAAUAGUGAAAAUGAGAUAGAAUGAAUAGGUUGUAGGUCCCUGUAAAGUUGAAGAAGUAUUAUUAUGCAGUACUCGUUAUUGAAAUGAGGUCACUAUGCUUAAGGCACAGUGAAUCCUAGAAAAUAGUGGUUUUGUUUCUCAUUAGGCAAUACAUUCCUCCUUGCUCCAGAAUGCAACAUACAUGUAUCCUUUUCUGUACUAUUUUUUAUUAAGAAUUCAUACUUAAUUCCACUGACUGCCACUCAAUUUUAAUGUACAGUAGGGAAUUCCUGUACUAUGUAUUAUGAAUCCAUUCCUUUGAAUUUCAUUUAUAAUACUUCAUGACUGACACCUGGCUUUCCACCAAGACUCAAUUUUCAUAGCAAGCCUCAUCAUCAUAAGCCCCCAAAUUAACAGGAUGAGGAGGAAGAAUUGGCAGGCUAAAGAAGAUGAUUAUAUCAAUUAAUGCAGAAAAAGCAUUUGAUAAAAUCCAAUAUUCAUUUGUAAUUAAAAACUCUCAGCAAGUUAGGGAUAGGAAUUACUUCAACUUAAUGAAGAGUGUCUUUAAAAACCUUAUUUUCAUCAGUUAUAACAAAUGUACCACUCUGGUGGUGAAUGUUGCUAAGGAGGGAAGCUAUACAUGUGUGGGGAAAGGAGAUGUGUGAGCAAUUUCUGUACCUUCUACUCAAUCUUCUGUGAGACUAAAAUUGCUGUAAAAAAUAAAGUUCAUUUUUUUAAAAACCUACAGCUGUCAUUCUUAAUGCUGAAAGACAGAAUGCUUUUCUCUAAGAUAGGGAACAAGGCAAAGAUUCAGUUCUCACCACUCCUAUUCAACACAGCACUACAAGUUCUAGCCACUGAAAUGGGGGUUGGGGGGAAGCAGAAGAAGAAAAGAAAUAAAAUGUAUACAGUUUCAAAAGGAAGAAUUAAAAUAGUCCCUGUGUGCAGAUGACAUGAUUGUCUAUUUAGUAAACCCAUGGAUUAUACAAAAAUAAAAUUCCGAGAACUUAAAAAGUGAUUUCAGCAAGAUCACAGGAUAUAAGAUCGAGAUGAAAACCAAUGUCAUUUCUAUAUACAGUAAGUCCUCUCUCUUAAUAUCAUCAAUAGGUUCUUGGAAACUGACUUUAAGCAAAACAACAUAAAACUAAACCCAAUUUUUCAUCAUCAAAGUUAUAACAAAAUGAUGUUGAACAAAACUACAUUAUUUCAGGACCUGCCAUACAUCAUGUCACUUAAAAUUACAGUUUCUAAGAACCUACCAAUGGCAUUAUGUGAGAAUUACUGUAGUAACAAUAAACGUAUGAAAACCAAAAUUAAAACACAUUUACAAUCAACCCAAGGAAAAUGAAAUAUUGAGGUAUAAACUUAAUGUUUUAUGAGGCAACUUAAUGAGGCAAAAAAAUGUAUACUAUCUGAUGCUGAAAAUUGCAAAUGCUGAUGAAAGAAAUCAGUGAUGACAAAUAAACAGAGAGACAUACUAUAGUCACAAAUUGGAAGACUCAACAUAGUAAAAAUGUCAAUUUGCCUCAAAGUAAUCUGUAGGUAUAAGACAAUUAUCAAAAUUCAGGGAAGUUUUUUGUAGGCAUUGGCUAGCCUAUUCUAAAAUUUAUAUGAAAAGCACAAACCUUAGAAUAUCUAAGAUAAUCUGAAAAGAAGAAUAAAGUGAGAGGAAUCACUCUACCUGAUAUUAAGCUUUAUAAUACAGUAACAGUACUCAAGACUGUGUGGUAUUUGCCAAGGCAUGGACUCAGAUCAAUGGAACAGAAGAGAAAACACAGGAAUAGACCCAUAUAAACAUUUCCAACUGAUUGUUUUCCAAUCGAUUUGUGACAAAAGUGCAGAAGUAAUUCAGUGAAGGAAGGAUAGCCUUGCAACAAGUUGUGCUGAAGCAGUGAGCACCCAUAGGCAAAAAGAAAAAGAGAACAUCAACCUUAACCUCACAUCUUAUACAAAAAUUAAUCCAAAAUUGAUAAUAGACUUAAAUGUAAAAUAUAAAACAUUUCACAAAAAUAGAAGAAAGUCUUCAGGAUCUAGGACUAGGCAAAUAAUUCUUAAAUGAUAUCAAAAGCAUAAUUCAUAAAGGGAAAAGUUGAUAAAUUAGACCUCAUUAAAAUUAAAAACUUAUGGAAAAUGUGCUGUUAAGAGGAUAAAAAAUAUAAGCUACAGACUGAAAGAAAAUAUUUGCAAGCCACAUAACUGACAAAGGACUAGUAUCUAGAAUAUAUAAAGAAUUUUCAAUACUCAGUUGUAAAAACAAAAUAAUUCAACCAGAAAAUUGAUAUGAGCAAACAUGUCACUGAAGAGGAUGUACAGAUGGCAAAAAUGCAUGUAAAAAGAUUUCAACUUCAUAAACCGUUAGGGAAAUGUGAAUUAAGCAACCAAUCAGAAUGGUUAAAAUGUUUAAAAAAUAGUAACACCACCAAAUAUUGGCAAGGAUAUAAAGGAAUCGAAUCACUCAUGCAUUGCUAGUAAAAAAUGUAAAGAGGUACAGCCACACUGGGAAACCUUUUCAUGGUUUUCUAAAAACUAAGCAUGGAGUUACCAUACAUCCCAGCAGUUCUACUCAUCAGCAUUUAUCCCAGAGAAAUAAAAAUUUAUGUUUACACUAAAACCUAUAUAUGAAUGUUCAUAAUAGCAUUUUUCAUAGUAGCCAAAAAUUGGAACCGUCUCAGGUGUCCUACCAUGGGUGAAUGGUUAAACAAACUAUGGUGCAUCUAUAUCUACCAUGAAGUAGAACUCAGCAAUAAAAAGGAAUGAACUAUUCAUACACCUUAUAACUUGGAUGCAUCUCCAGGUAAUUGUGCUGAGUGAAAAAAAAAAAAAAAAGCCCCAAUUCCAAAAGGUUAUAUACUCUAUGAUUCUACUUCUGCAAUGUUUAUUAAAUGAUAAAAUUACAGAAGUGGGAAAAUGAUUAGUGGUUUCCAGGGGGUAUAUACAGUAAGGGUGAGAGGGCCGGAAGAGUGCAGUUUUAUAAGGGCAACAUAAGGGACCCUUAUGGUGAUGGGACUGUUCUGUAUCUUGACUCUGUUGGUAGUCACAUGAAUCUACACAUGAUAAAAUUGCAUAGAAUUAAACAUAUAUACACACUCAAAUGAAUGCAUGUAAAACCGGUAAAAUCUGAAUAAGGUAAAUGGAUCAUAAUCAAUGUCAAUUUUCCAUUUGUGAUAUUAUACUAUAGUUAUGUAAGAUGAUGUUAGCAUUGGGAGAAACUGGGUGAUGGAUAUACAGAAUCUUUCUGUAUUAUUUCUUGUAAUUGCAUAUGUAUCUCAAUGGUCUCAAAAUAAAAAGUUAAAUAAAUAAGAGAGACCAAAAAGUGGCUUUCCAGUGGAGAACUGAGAUAAUCUGAGCAUCUUAUGCUCUAAAUAAAGUAUGCAAUAAAAAUAAAAUAUAUAUAUAUAUAUAUAUAUAUAUCUGUAAGUCAUAUUGAAAGUUACACACCAUUUUGGGGAAAAGUCAAGUAAAAACAGCAGUAUACACUAUUAGCUUUAACAUUAGGCUUUGAGACUAUCUCUGGCCUUUUCUCUGGCCAAAGGGAAAGAAAUCCUCAGAUCUACUCUGAAGCCUUUCUUAGACUGAGAAGCCUCUGAUAGCAUUUCAAAGCAGCUUAGUGCCAAACAUUCUUUGAGCAUCCAGUAAGAGUCUGUUUGCAACUUAAUAGAAAGAUUUUUUAAGUUGCCUUUUGACUAUACACAAUGAGUUCUCUUUUUAUCUGGUUCCUGAUUACUCUCUGACCUUUAUCAUACAAAGAAAGAUCUUUCAGCCUAUUCCAAUCUGUACUAAAAUUCAGAUAAGAGGAAGCAUCCUCAAAGCUGGAUUAUCUGACUCUGAAGCCAGCGUGAUCCUCCUACUGCCUUCAGCAGCUUUUCGUAGUGUUCAGCCAGAACUGACAUUUCUACAUUCUACACUGCCAGCCUUUAAUGACCUCUCUCAUCUCCAAACUUCUAUAACAAUUAUUACCUAUACUAUGCAAUAAAAAACACUCAUUUUAAGUAUAAGUUUAAUGCCAUGUUGACAAAUGAAUUCAGCCCUGUGUGACCAUUGUCAUAAUCAAGUAACAGAACAUUUCCAUCACCCUAAAAAGUUCCCUUGGCCUCUUGCUCUUUUCCCCAGCCCCAGGCAACCAUUAUUUUGCUUUUUAUCACUAUAGUUUUGUCUGUUCUAGAAUUUUACUUAAGUGAAAGCAAAAGUGAAUAUUCUUUUGUCAUCUGGCUUCUUUAAAUUCUUCAGCAUAAUUUUUUAUAUUUAUGCAGUUCUUCUUAUCAGUUUAUUUUUAUUGGUGAGUAGUAGUCUUUUGUUAUAUAAGUUAUAUAAGUGGUAUUAUAUUUUGUUUAUUCAUUUACCUGUUCUUGGAUGUUGAGUCACCGCAAGUUUUGGACUAUUACAAAUAAAGCUGAUAUGAAUAUUCAUGUAUGAGUCUUUGUAUGCCAUCAUAUGCUUUCAUUUCUCUUGGGUAAAUAACUAGAAGUGGAAUGACUGGAUCUAAUGGUAAGUGUAUAUUUGUUUAAUAUACACUUUAUAAAUACUCGAGCAUUUAUAAAGUAUUUUACAUUCCCAUCAACAACACAUGAGAGUUAGCAUUCUUGCUAACACUUGCUUAUUCUUUUUAUUGUAGCCAUUCUGGUGUGUGUAUAGUUAUCUAUCAUAUGGUUCUAAAUUACAUUUUCCUGAUGACUAAUAAUGUUGCACAUCUUUGUAUGUGCUUACCAGCUUCCAUAUGUCUUUUUAUUUUUUGAGAGUUCUCACUAUAUUUCCCAGGCUGAUCUGAAACUCCAGGGCUCAACCAACCCUCCUGCUUCAGUCUCCAGAGUAACUGGGAUUACAGGUACAUACCACCAUGCCCAGCUCAUAUAUUUUCUUUUGUGAAGUUAUGCUAAAAUCUUCUGCUUAUUUUUAAUUGGGUUGUUUCUCUUCUUAUGACUGAGUUUAUAUAUUAUGGAUAAAAUUCUUUGUCAGGUACACAGAUUAUUAAAAAUUACCUCCCAAUUCAUGGCUUACUUUUUGUUUUGCUUACGAAUGUCUUUGAAAAUCAAUGUUUUCAUUUUAAUAAGAUCCAAUUUAUCAUUUUUUUUAAGUUUUGCUAUUAGCCAUUUUGUCUUCUAUGAAAAUUUUGCCUACCCCAACGUCAUGAAGAUUUUCUCCUAUGCUUUUGUCUAGAUGUGUUAUAGUUACAUCAUUUAUAUUUAGUGCUAGGAUGCAUUCUAAAUUUCUUUUGAUUCAAAAAUAAUAAUAAAAACCAGAGCUCAACACCCUUUGUCUCCAUUAAUAUGAAACUUAUUUUAAGUGAACCUGUUAGAGGAUCUAUGUUUUAUUUUAAAAAACAAAGAAUUACCAACAAUGUAAUAAAUAAGAACAUUAAGAUCUAUCAAUGAGGGUUUCAAAUAUGUAAACUGUUUAGAUUUUUAGAAAACUGCCUAGAUUUCACAUCUACCAAGGCAAAAGCAUUAACUGUAAGAAUUUGCACCUUAAUUGUGCGCUCUUCAAGAAUUCCACCUCUGGUUCUGUCUUUGCUCUUGAAAUUCUCACAGCUCAAUAGGUUUUGCAUAGAAGACAUGAGAACAGGAGGGCUCAAUAGCAAUUCUCCCCUUUUCCUGUAGUCAAGAGUUAGAAGAACCAUUACACAAUCAGUAAAUUCUAAACCUUCUGCAUUUGUUCUCCUUCCUCUUCUCUGAUGUUCUAUUUUCAGUGAUUUAUCCUCUGAAAUGGGUUAGUCUCAGAAAAUGUAAGAGGGAAUUUCACAAUCAGGAAAAGCAUUUGUAAUAUUGAUUCUUUUUAAAAUGUAUGUGAAAACACAUAUGAAUAAGCACUUCGCUUUUUUUUUUUUUUUUUUUUUUGAGACAGAGUCUCGCUUUGUUGCCCAGGCUGGAGUGCAGUGGCGCGAUCUCGGCUCACUGCAACCUCCGCCUCCCGAGUUGAAGCAAUUCUCCUGCCUCAGCCCCCU
rnacentral:lncRNA from 1 species